rnacentral:SRP_RNA from 1 species
GCUGGGCGUGGUGGCGGGCGCCUGUAAUCUCAGCUACUCAGGAGGCUGAGGCAGGAGAAUUGCUUGAACCCGGGAGGUAGGGGUUGCAGUGAGCCGAGAUCGUGCCACUGCACUCCAGCCUGGGCUACAGAGCAAGACUCUGUCUCAA